AUUGAACGCUGGCGGCAUGCUUUACACAUGCAAGUCGGACGGCAGCACAGAGAAGCUUGCUUCUUGGGUGGCGAGUGGCGAACGGGUGAGUAACAUAUCGGAACGUACCGAGCAGUGGGGGAUAACUAAUCGAAAGAUUAGCUAAUACCGCAUAUCUUCUGAGGAAGAAAGCAGGGGACCAUUUGGCCUUGCGCUGUUUGAGCGGCCGAUAUCUGAUUAGCUAGUUGGUGGGGUAAAGGCCUACCAAGGCGACGAUCAGUAGCGGGUCUGAGAGGAUGAUCCGCCACACUGGGACUGAGACACGGCCCAGACUCCUACGGGAGGCAGCAGUGGGGAAUUUUGGACAAUGGGCGCAAGCCUGAUCCAGCCAUGCCGCGUGUCUGAAGAAGGCCUUCGGGUUGUAAAGGACUUUGUCAGGGAAGAAAAGGGCGGGGUUAAUACCCCUGUCUGAUGACGGU
rnacentral:rRNA from 1 species